UACGUAGGGUGCAAGCGUUGUCCGGAAUUAUUGGGCGUAAAGAGCUCGUAGGCGGUCUGUCGCGUCGGAUGUGAAAAUCCAGGGCUCAACCCUGGACCUGCAUUCGAUACGGGCAGACUAGAGUUCGGCAGGGGAGACUGGAAUUCCUGGUGUAGCGGUGAAAUGCGCAGAUAUCAGGAGGAACACCGGUGGCGAAGGCGGGUCUCGUGGGCCGAAACUGACGCUGAGGAGCGAAAGCGUGGGGAGCAAACAGG
rnacentral:rRNA from 1 species